rnacentral:rRNA from 1 species
AUACGUAGGGGGCGAGCGUUGUCCGGAAUGAUUGGGCGUAAAGGGCGCGUAGGCGGCCCGGUAAGUCUGGAGUGAAAGUCCUGUUUUUAAGAUGGGUAUUGCUUUGGAUACAGUCGGGCUUGAGUGCAGGAGAGGUAAGUGGAAUUCCCAGUGUAGCGGUGAAAUGCGUAGGGAUUGGGAGGAACACCAGUGGCGAAGGCGACUUACUGGACUGUAACUGACGCUGAGGCGCGAAAGUGUGGGGAGCAAACAGGAUUAGAUACCCUGGUAGUCCACGCUGUAAACGAUGAAUACUAGGUGUAGGGGGUAUCAACUCCCUCUGUGCCGCAGCAAACGCAAUAAGUAUUCCGCCUGGGGAGUACGGCCGCAAGGUUGAAACUUAAAUGAAUUGGCGGGG